rnacentral:rRNA from 3 species
ACGGGUGAGUAACACGUGAGUAACCUGCCCUUAACUCUGGGAUAAGCCUGGGAAACUGGGUCUAAUACCGGAUAUGACUCCUCAUCGCAUGGUGGGGGGUGGAAAGCUUUAUUGUGGUUUUGGAUGGACUCGCGGCCUAUCAGCUUGUUGGUGAGGUAAUGGCUCACCAAGGCGACGACGGGUAGCCGGCCUGAGAGGGUGACCGGCCACACUGGGACUGAGACACGGCCCAGACUCCUACGGGAGGCAGCAGUGGGGAAUAUUGCACAAUGGGCGCAAGCCUGAUGCAGCGACGCCGCGUGAGGGAUGACGGCCUUCGGGUUGUAAACCUCUUUCAGUAGGGAAGAAGCGAAAGUGACGGUACCUGCAGAAGAAGCGCCGGCUAACUACGUGCCAGCAGCCGCGGUAAUACGUAGGGCGCAAGCGUUAUCCGGAAUUAUUGGGCGUAAAGAGCUCGUAGGCGGUUUGUCGCGUCUGCCGUGAAAGUCCGGGGCUCAACUCCGGAUCUGCGGUGGGUACGGGCAGACUAGAGUGAUGUAGGGGAGACUGGAAUUCCUGGUGUAGCGGUGAAAUGCGCAGA